UGCAAGUCGAGCGGGCGUAGCAAUACGUCAGCGGCAGACGGGUGAGUAACACGUGGGAACGUACCUUUUGGUUCGGAACAACUGAGGGAAACUUCAGCUAAUACCGGAUAAGCCCUAACGGGGAAAGAUUUAUCGCCGAAAGAUCGGCCCGCGUCUGAUUAGCUAGUUGGUGAGGUAAUGGCUCACCAAGGCGACGAUCAGUAGCUGGUCUGAGAGGAUGAUCAGCCACACUGGGACUGAGACACGGCCCAGACUCCUACGGGAGGCAGCAGUGGGGAAUAUUGGACAAUGGGGGCAACCCUGAUCCAGCCAUGCCGCGUGAGUGAUGAAGGCCCUAGGGUUGUAAAGCUCUUUUGUGCGGGAAGAUAAUGACGGUACCGCAAGAAUAAGCCCCGGCUAACUUCGUGCCAGCAGCCGCGGUAAUACGAAGGGGGCUAGCGUUGCUCGGAAUCACUGGGCGUAAAGGGUGCGUAGGCGGGUCUUUAAGUCAGGGGUGAAAUCCUGGGGCUCAACUCCAGAACUGCCUUUGAUACUGAGGAUCUUGAGUCCGGAAGAGGUGAGUGGAACUGCGAGUGUGGAGGUGAAAUUCGUAGAUAUUCGCAAGAACACCAGUGGCGAAGGCGGCUCACUGGUCCGGUACUGACGCUGAGGCACGAAAGCGUGGGGAGCAAACA
rnacentral:rRNA from 1 species